rnacentral:rRNA from 1 species
UGGGGAAUAUUGCGCAAUGGGCGGAAGCCUGACGCAGCGACGCCGCGUGGGGGAUGACGGCCUUCGGGUUGUAAACCUCUUUCGGCCCCGACAAAGCGUGAGUGACGGUAGGGGUAGAAGAAGCACCGGCCAACUACGUGCCAGCCGCCGCGGUAAUACGUAGGGUGCGAGCGUUGUCCGGAAUUAUUGGGCGUAAAGAGCUCGUAGGCGGUCUGUCGCGUCGAUCGUGAAAACUUGGGGCUUAACCCUGAGCUUGCGGUCGAUACGGGCAUGACUGGAGUUCGGCAGGGGAGACUGGAAUUCCUGGUGUAGCGGUGAAAUGCGCAGAUAUCAGGAGGAACACCGGUGGCGAAGGCGGGUCUCUGGGCCGAUACUGACGCUGAGGAGCGAAAGCGUGGGGAGCGAAC